GCGCUUCUGGUCUAAUGGCUAUGACUUCUGCCUUCCAAGCAGACAGUACGGGUUCGAUUCCCGUGAGGUGCUCCA
rnacentral:tRNA from 1 species